rnacentral:rRNA from 1 species
GAUGAACGCUAGCUACAGGCUUAACACAUGCAAGUCGAGGGGCAGCAUGGUCUUAGCUUGCUAAGGCCGAUGGCGACCGGCGCACGGGUGAGUAACACGUAUCCAACCUGCCGUCUACUCUUGGACAGCCUUCUGAAAGGAAGAUUAAUACAAGAUGGCAUCAUGAGUCCGCAGGUUCACAUGAUUAAAGGUAUUCCGGUAGACGAUGGGGAUGCGUUCCAUUAGAUAGUAGGCGGGGUAACGGCCCACCUAGUCUUCGAUGGAUAGGGGUUCUGAGAGGAAGGGCCCCCAGAGUGGAACUGGGACCCGGGCCACUCUCCUACGGGCCGCAGCCGUGCGGGAUACUGAUCAAUGGGCGAGUGCCUGAACCAGCCAAGUAGCGUGAAGGAUGACUGCCCUAUGGGUUGUAAACUUCUGUUAUAAAGGAAUAAAGUCGUGUAUGGAUGCCCGUUUGCCUGUACUUGAUGAAUAAGGAUCGGCUAACUCCGUG